GUCUACGGCCAUGUCAUCCUGAACAAGCCUGAUCCUGUCUGAUCUGGGAAGCUAAGCAGGGCCGGGCCUCGUUAGUAGUUGGAUGGGGGACCACCUAGGAAGACCAGGUGCUGUAGGUG
rnacentral:rRNA from 1 species